GUGUGGACAGAGAGUAAGUUUCUGAUGAUCAAGUCAUAGAACAAAUGUUUGGAGAUGAGAGAAUCAUCAUAACCUUCCUAUAAAUGGUGAAUAGAUGUCUAGUGCUGUCAGUUUCAUGCAUCCUGCUGCACACAUAUUUGACAUUUUUUAGGACUCAGUGGCCAUUGAGGAUUUGCUUGUGAACUUCACCCUGGAGGAGUGGGCUUUCCUCGAUUCUCCACAGAAGAAACUUCAUGGAGGAAAAAAUGGGAAGAUCAUGAUGUUGAAGAUCGGUACAGAAAUCAGGGUAGAAACCUAAGAAGUCACAUGGUAGUGAGACUCUGUGAAAGUAAAGAGGAAGUUCAAUGUGCAGAAAACUUCAGCUUUAUUCCAAGUCUCAGUUUGGACAGGAAAACUACUGGAUUGAAGCCACAUGAAUGAAGCAGUGCAUGUGCAAAAGUCUUUACACAUCAUUCAUCCCUUUAUAGGCACAUCAGGUGUCACACUGGACACAAGCCAUGUGAGUUUCAAAAAUAUCGAGAGAAGACACAUAAGUGUAAGGUAUGUGGAAAUGCCUUCAGUGAGCUCUAAUUUUUUGAGAAACAUGAAAGAAAUCAUAAUAGACAAAAAACCUACAAACAAAGAAUGUGGCUCAAAACGCUUCAAAGACAGAUGAUAACACACAUAUUAUCAUGUGCUCCUUAAACAGCUAUGGAAUCUGGGAAAGGCUUCACUUGUUCCAGUUCCCUUCAAAUACAUGGAAGAGCCCACUCUGCAGAGAAACUCUAUCAAUGGAAACGUGGAAAAGUCAUCAGAUACUAUUUUAAAAAGCAUGAAAGAACUCAUACAGGAGAGAAAUUUUAUGAAUUGUAAAAAGUGCUACAAAGCCUUCAGUAUUCCCAGUUCUCUCUGAAACCUUGAAAGAACUCCUACUGGGGAGAAACCCCAUGAAUGUAAAGAAUGUGGGAGAGCCUUUUGUCAUCCAUCAGGUAUUUGAUCAUACAUGAAAACGCAUACUGGAAAUACACCUUAUAAACGUAAAGAAUAUGGAAAGCUUUCAUUUAUCCCAGUUUACUUGAAAUACAUGAAAGAAUUCAGACUGGAAGCCCUAUGAGUGUAAAAUAUGUGGGAAAGCCUUCAUUUGUUCCAGUUAUUUUCAAGUACGUGAAAGAAGUAAUACUGGAGAGAAACCUUGUGAAUGUGAGGCAUGAGGGAAAUCCUUCAUUUGUCACACAUACUUUUGAAGACACGUGAGUGUGCACACUGGAAGAAAACCAUAUAAAUGUGAAGAAAUGUGGGAAAACCUUCUGUCAUCUGAGUUCUUUCUGAAGGCAUGAAAGGACUCACUGGAUAAAACCUCUUGAAUGUAAACAAUGUAGGAAAGACUUCUAUUGGCCCACAUACUGAACUAUGAAAAAUCCUACCUAUGAGAAAUAUCAAUGUUAGUGACUGGGAAAGCUUGGUGGGAAUAAAUGCAUGAAUAAUAUUCUGGCAAAAUUUUCAACAUGAAAGAGUUGUUAUGAAAGUUGUAAAUAUAUUGGUUUAUGAAGCUUCUUUCUUAAAGUACAUCUUUGGACUAUGGAUUUCUACAAGUUACAUUCAGAAAUGAAUAUUGAGGUGAGAAAAUUCUUCAAGUCAUCUUUCAACAAUGGAAGAUAAGAUUAAUGGGUAGUGAUUUUUCCUUAAAUCAAUCAUAUUUUCUCUGUCCAUUUUUAAGCCUGUUGGAUUCAUGGGUGAAUUGAAAUGUAUUUCUAAUGUGCAGUUAGAUUUAAUACUUUUACAGUGUUUCAUUUGUUCUGUGUUAAGGGGCUACUGAAAAAUGACAAUUCGGUAUAUGUUAGGAUUUUCCUACUGGCCAUGUGAGAAUUCCUGGAUAUCCCUACUCCAUUGUGUAUCUUCUGCCUUUUCUUACUGAGAAACUCCUUGUUUGGGGUCAUAGAUCUUUUUUCCAUUUUCCAUGGCAUUAAACAGUUGAAAUACAUUUUUCUCUAUGGUGUGUUUAUCAAAGAGUAUCAUUUCAUGUGACUUGUUAUUUUCAUAUUUGGCCCUUUCCUCACUGUCCUUCCUUCUGACUGAAACUUGGUGACUAGGCCUUGAAUUAAGAAGAGAGCCAUGAGAUAGGACAAAAAAAUAAGGAGUUGGAGAUGUCCUCCCUGUGAGCAAUAUUUGAAACUAGAUUCUCCAUUAUCCAUCCCUUUUAUGGUUUCAUAUUGGAAUUCACCAAUAGCCUCACUUGCAUGACCUUUUGAAGUCAUAAGCAAAGAAGGGAUUAGGUUUUGGGACCACCAUAGAGGGAGAAGACAAAUACAUAGGAUCUUGGAGGAAAUCAUGUUCCACCUAUUUUACAAAUUCCUUGCUCUUCCAGUCAAGACUAUCUUCAAAACAACCACCAAGUCUGAUUUCCAUUUUCUUAGAGGUGUAGGUUUCCAACGAUGUCUUAUAAGUUCUACAUCAAAGAUACAUGAGACUCGGAUUUUUCAGUUAGCCUUCUUGUGUUCACCAGGAAAGCAAUUCAGACUUUCAUGAUUGGGCGUAUUCUGAUUCCCCUCUUCUCUAGAUUAUAUCUGUAUAAGGCUUAAUUUGUACACGAAACACCUUAUGCUGUUAAUAGUGCUGGUGACUAUAUUUUCCUUAUUCCCGAUGACAGCCACAAUAGUGCUAUCAAAAAAAAAAAACAACAUUGGACUUUGUUUCUCUUCUGCAUUGUGCCUCGACCUAAUCCUUCCAUAUAAGAAUAAUCUCCUUCCUCACGUCAGGAAGACUGUGUUUCCUGUUACUUGUAGCUGAAUGUAAUG